rnacentral:misc_RNA from 1 species
GAUCAUUACUGAGUGAGGGCCCUCUGGGUCCAACCUCCCACCCGUGUUUAACGAACCUUGUUGCUUCGGCGGGCCCGCCUCACGGCCGCCGGGGGGCAUCCGCCCCCGGGCCCGCGCCCGCCGAAGACACCUGUGAACUCUGUCUGAAGUUGCAGUCUGAGAAACUAUUUAAAUUAGUUAAAACUUUCAACAACGGAUCUCUUGGUUCCGGCAUCGAUGAAGAACGCAGCGAAAUGCGAUAAAUAAUGUGAAUUGCAGAAUUCAGUGAAUCAUCGAGUCUUUGAACGCACAUUGCGCCCUCUGGUAUUCCGGAGGGCAUGCCUGUCCGAGCGUCAUUGCUGCCCUCAAGCACGGCUUGUGUGUUGGGCCCCGUCCCCCCCCUCCCGGGGGGACGGGCCCGAAAGGCAGCGGCGGCACCGCGUCCGGUCCUCGAGCGUAUGGGGCUUUGUCACCCGCUCUUGUAGGCCCGGCCGGCGCUUGCCGACCCCCUCAAUCUAUUUCAGGUGAC